rnacentral:lncRNA from 1 species
UUUAGGUGUAACACCACUAAUUCGGGCCCGGCCAGAAAGCACAUACAAGAAAGUAGUACAUAUUUAACACAAAAUAGUUCCUACGCAUGCAUUUAACUUUGGAAAUAUGUAGAAUAUUUUGGUACUUUUGGUAUCAAAUGAAAGCUGAAGGACUGGUGAUCAUUGUAGAACACUUUUGGACUUUAAAUUUUGAAUAUUAAAAAAACUGCACCAAAUUUUAAAAAGAGGGUACAUUUUGUCUGUUUGUCAAAUCUGAAGUACCUGUUUUGGUACAUCCAAAGUUCCAGGAACCAGUUCUUUCUUAUAUGCCAUUAAAGGUAUGUUGAUUUUUUCAGUACAAGACACCAUAAAGUGUUGCUUUGAAAUGCAUUGAUUGCCACUUUAUUUGAACUUAAAACAAAAGAGGUGUGCCUGCUUGAAACGGAGGAAUUUAACAUAGAAAGCAAUGGGACCAUGAAUUAGUGGUGUACUUCCUUUAAAUUGU